rnacentral:rRNA from 1 species
GACGAACGCUGGCGGCGCGCUUAACACAUGCAAGUCGAACGGAAAGGCCCUGCUUUUGUGGGGUGCUCGAGUGGCGAACGGGUGAGUAACACGUGAGUAACCUGCCCUUGACUUUGGGAUAACUUCAGGAAACUGGGGCUAAUACCGGAUAGGAGCUCCUGCUGCAUGGUGGGGGUUGGAAAGUUUCGGCGGUUGGGGAUGGACUCGCGGCUUAUCAGCUUGUUGGUGGGGUAGUGGCUUACCAAGGCUUUGACGGGUAGCCGGCCUGAGAGGGUGACCGGCCACAUUGGGACUGAGAUACGGCCCAGACUCCUACGGGAGGCAGCAGUGGGGAAUAUUGCACAAUGGGCGGAAGCCUGAUGCAGCAACGCCGCGUGCGGGAUGACGGCCUUCGGAUUGUAAACCGCUUUCGCCUGUGACGAAGCGUGAGUGACGGUAAUGGGUAAAGAAGCACCGGCUAACUACGUG